GAUGAACGCUGGCGGCGUGCCUAAUACAUGCAAGUCGAGCGAACAGACGAGGAGCUUGCUCCUUUGACGUUAGCGGCGGACGGGUGAGUAACACGUGGAUAACCUACCUAUAAGACUGGGAUAACUUCGGGAAACCGGAGCUAAUACCGGAUAACAUGUUGAACCGCAUGGUUCAACAGUGAAAGACGGUCUUGCUGUCACUUAUAGAUGGAUCCGCGCCGCAUUAGCUAGUUGGUAAGGUAACGGCUUACCAAGGCAACGAUGCGUAGCCGACCUCAGAGGGUGAUCGGCCACACUGGAACUGAGACACGGUCCAGACUCCUACGGGAGGCAGCAGUAGGGAAUCUUCCGCAAUGGGCGAAAGCCUGACGGAGCAACGCCGCGUGAGUGAAGAAGGUCUUCGGAUCGUAAAACUCUGUUAUUAGGGAAGAACAAAUGUGUAAGUAACUAUGCACGUCUUGACGGUACCUAAUCAGAAAGCCACGGCUAACUACGUG
rnacentral:rRNA from 1 species